rnacentral:RNase_P_RNA from 1 species
GUGGAUGGCCGGAUGACCGCGGGGCCUUUGGGCCGCGAGGAAAGUCCGGACUCCGGAAAGCAACGGUGCCAGGUAACGCCUGGCCAGGGUAACCUGAGGGAAAGCGCCACAGAGAAUAAACCGCCUGUCAUCUGACAGGUAAGGGUGAAACGGUGGAGUAAGAGCCCACCGCGGGCCUGGCAACAGGACCGGCACGGCAAGCCCCACCGGGAGCAAUGCCAAAUAGGGACCGCGUGCGGCGCAAGUCGCGGGAAUUGCUUCUUCCCAGCAGGUUCGGGUUGGCAGCUAUAGUGUACUGGCGACAGUGCGCAGAGAAGAAUGGUCAUCUAUGGGGGUAACCCCGGGACAGAAUCCGGCUUACAGGCCAUCCACGCAA